rnacentral:rRNA from 1 species
GAUCCUGGCUCAGGAUGAACGCUGGCGGCGUGCUUAACACAUGCAAGUCGAACGAAGCGCUUGAGAUUGAUUCUUCGGAUGAUUUCUCUUGCGACUUAGUGGCGGACGGGUGAGUAACGCGUGGGUAACCUGCCUCACACAGGGGGAUAACAGUUGGAAACGACCGCUAAUACCGCAUAACCCGCUAGGGCCGCAUGGCAUGGACGGAAAAGAUUUAUCGGUGUGAGAUGGACCCGCGUUGGA